rnacentral:rRNA from 1 species
UCUGGAGACAGGUGCUGCAUGGCUGUCGUCAGCUCGUGUCGUGAGAUGUUGGGUUAAGUCCCGCAACGAGCGCAACCCUUGCCUUUAGUUGCCAGCAGUCGGCUGGGCACUCUAAAGGGACUGCCGGUGUUAAACCGGAGGAAGGUGGGGAUGACGUCAAGUCCUCAUGGCCUUUAUGACCAGGGCUACACACGUACUACAAUGGCCGAUACAAAGGGCAGCGACACUGCGAGGUGAAGCCAAUCCCGUAAAAUCGGUCUCAGUCCGGAUUGGAGUCUGCAACUCGACUCCAUGAAGUUGGAAUCGCUAGUAAUCGUGGAUCAGCAUGCCACGGUGAAUACGUUCCCGGGCCUU